UCGCCUGGGCGCCCGGGCCCUCCGCGCUUUGGGUGCUGCGAGGUCUCCCAGUGGGCUGGGGCCCGUGUGGGUGAGGGGCCUGCCCGAGCCUUAGGAGAGUUGCAGUUGUCCGGAGAAGACCGAAAAAGGGCCUGGAUAAACCUCUUUCCUUUGCAGAACACCUGCAAAUAUCCGUUCUUGGGAGAACCACUCGGGCUUCGGGUUACUAACCCUUCACACUUAGUAGGGCCAUCUGGGGCAAAACAGCCCUAGAAGAGGAGGCGACUUUAACAUCAGAACACUCAGAUUCGUUUCCUGAGCUGCUGCUUCCUAGCUGUGACAAGUCCUUGCGAGCCUCAUUUUCGUCCUCUGAAACGGGCACAAUAUUGAAGUGGGGAAUUGAGGAGAUACAGUAUGGAGAAGAUAGAGCAAGGGUCGCGGAGCUGGAUGACUCCUAGCGUGAGACUCAGUUGAGCAGCCGGGAGAGGGGUCAGAGAGUGAGAUAAGAUCCAACUUUGGCAUCGGAAAGUGUUUUGAAGGAGUGGACAUCAGACUGGGGUUUAAAAGAAAGGUGGGACUGUAAUCCCCAGCGUUCGGGAGGCUGAGGCAGGAGGAUCAUUGCAAGUUCCAGGCCAGCCUGGGCUACAAAGGACCACCAGGGGCUUGUAAGAAGACGCUGGAAGGCCAGGCAAGAGACGGCUCUGCUCUCCUCAGUCUGCACUGCCUGGACACGUUCUGCUUCUCGGGUUGAUUUUUGUCUUUUGCUAAGCAGUGGCUUCUGACUGCUAAGGAUUAUUCAGUGAUGUGGGUCCCAGAGAUCAAGACAGGCUCAAGAUGCCAAAGGGAGCAACCCAUAUAGCAUUUCCACCCCAGGGAUCCAGCUGAGAAUUUCCUUGGGAUCUAUGAGGAAGUCACAGGUCUGACCUGCACCUAAAGGAGGAGACUCUAAAGGCUGUGACUAUCAGGAAGGUGGCAUCAUCGGGGGUGCUUUUAUACCAAGACUCGCACACAAGUCGCUAUCUGGGAAUCUCCCUUUCCUCACGGCAGCCCUGACAACCGCACGCCGAUCAGCAGCUCCUCCUCACUCACACAUCUAUCUGCAACGAUCACAACAAUAAUGUAACCCCUGGCCCCUAAUGAGGAGUUUCUCUGACCCCGGCUCCGUUCUUGGUGCUUUGUGCACAUUCAGUGAACAGUCUGUAGUUCUUCACACAGCCUGCAAAGCUUUCUUCCAGCAAUGAUGUAUUAGGGUCCCUUCUGCACUUUCCUAUUACACAGGGAAGAACUCAGUAGAGGGCCCCCCAUGAUGCCACCUUCCUGAUCUUCACAGUCUCCUGCCCACUGCAAGGCAAUGCUCAGUGAAUAGCGGCAUCACAGCCUGCUGCACAUGUGUCCUACGACUGCUGUGGCCAGUGACCGCAAGCUGGGCCGCUCAAAGCAUCAAAAAUUCAUUCUGUCAGAACCCCUACAUGCAGAAGUCCAAAAAUCAAGGAGUCAGCCAGCAAGGUCGGUUCCUUCUGGAGGGUUAGAAGGAGAACCUGCUCAUGCCUCUCCCCUAGGUGACUGUGGGAAUAUUCAGGUUCCUCGCCUGGCAGCUGCAUCUCUCUGGUCACUGCCUCCAUCACCACAUGGCCUCUUCCUUGUGUCUCUGUGCCCUUGCCUCUCUUUGCAAGCACACCCAUCAUUGGGCCUGGGGCCCAGCUUCAUCGAGCAUGACCUCAUUAUGCCUGAAUUAUGCCUGCAAAGAACCUUCUUCCAAGUCAGCUUGCAACCUGGGGUUCUGGUAGACCUGGAUGUGGAGAGGCCCUAUUCAACCCCCUCCAUGUGCUGUCACAAGCAUGGGUCCUUGAAGAGGAUACAGCAGAGGAGACAGGAGCCUACUGUGAUCAAGUUCAGGUCCAGCCCAGAACUUACCUGCAAAACGCUUGGUGGAGAAAAGAGAUCCAAGUCAGAGCAAUGCAGCAAUGUAUCGAUAGCAGUGAGAUUUGAACUUUGGGCUGGCAGACUUUGUAGCAGAACCAAGCCUGAGCAACGGCCCGACCCACGACCACAUGAGGCGUGACUACUUUAGGUGAUACAAGAAGCAGGAGUUGAAGGGGUGGCCUAUGGAGGGCCCUGAGCUAAAUGAGCACCCGGAACUCCGCCUGCAGGCCACGAGGCACGCCUGGAGAUGCGUGAGCUAAGGAAAGAAGCAAAGUCAGCAGUCUCCUGAGUGCUGCCAUGCUUCAUGGUGACCUCAGUGCCCACUACUUUAGCUUUAAAGUCCUGGGCAGUCUCCAAGGCCAGCUCGACUAGUCGCUCUAACCCCUGCUCACAUUGCUGGACGCACUUGCAGAAAAAAUACGCAGGGCCACGCAACACAGCCAGUUGCGUGUCAGAGUUUCGUGGUCACCACGAGACCAGAAGCUUUUGCAAGUAGAGGUUUUAUUUGAGCUGUGCCUCCUCUGAAGCAUAUGCGAUGGCCAUUUGGAAAGAGAUAAAAUUAUCUCAGCUUCGCACCCUGCUCGAGAAUAAACACCAAGUGGAUCAGAGCGCUCAGUGUCAAGAGUGACACUGCACAAGCUCUAGAAGGGGAGAUGGGUGAAGAAAAUCUCUCUAGAAAGGGCUACACAGGCAGAAGCAAUAGGAGACUGACAAGUGCGAUGACCUCAGUAACGAAGAAAAAGCAAGAACACGUUUUGUGUGGCAAAAAAGAAGAUAAAGCUAAGUCAGAAGACAGAUGAUAAGCUGAGAUGAAACAUUUCCACUUACAUCCCAAACAACGCUUCCUAUGGUAAUAUGCAAAGAGCUAAAAAUUUACUUCAAAAUAAAAUCAGAUCAAGCAAGGCAUGUUGGGACACACCUGUAAUCUCAGCACU